rnacentral:misc_RNA from 1 species
CUGCUACAAACCCUUUUUAAUUUCCACUAUUCCAAUUUAAUGAGAACCUAGAAAACUACAUAUGUUUUCGGAAUUUUUUGAAAAACUGAAAAACCAAUACACAGAAGUCUUUAACCCGAUCUCAAUUAACUUCACUAUUAUAGAAUGUUUUUGUCAAUUGGGAUACCAAAACUGCACUCAAAAACCAUGUCAACAUAGAGGAAUUGUAUGGAUGGGGGUUAUCUCCAAG